UUGUUUAACAUACAUUUGCUGGAAUAAGAGCUUGAAGGUUAUAGUAGAUGCCAGAAAUUUUUGGUUUUGAUAAUGAGAGACAUAAGGGAAUGGCAUUUGGUCUAAGUGGUCUUGUUUAGUUCUUCCUAUGUUACUAUUUGCCUUAGCGGUGAAUCCUGUGUUAGGUUCUGAUCUAUCGAUACCCAUAUGAGAGUAUCCUAGAUAGUGAAAAUUGUCUUUAUCUUCUGUUCUUUUUUUUUUCUUUUCAAGUUCCUUCUUUUUAGUUUUGGCUGCCAAUGGACUAUAUAUAUUGCGUGAAUCAUAAAUAGUGCAGAUUGAAAAAAAACAAAAACGAUAGUGCAUAAUUUUUGCU
rnacentral:sRNA from 1 species